rnacentral:rRNA from 1 species
UACAGAGGUGCCGAGCGUUAGGCGGAAUCACUGGGCUUAAAGCGUGUGUAGGCGGACUUCUAAGUACCUUGUGAAAUCCCACGGCUCACCCGUGGAACUGCUGGGUAUACUGGUCGUCUUGAGCCACCUAGGGGCGAGCGGAACAAAUGGUGGAGCGGUGAAAUGCGUAGAUAUCAUUUGGAACGCCAACGGUGAAAACAGCUCGCUGGGGGUGUGCUGACGCUGAGACACGAAAGCCAGGGGAGCGAACGGG